AUAGGACCAAGGUCAGCAGAAGAUGUAGGAGAAAUAAGUCUCAUAGAAUGUUGCUACAAAUUCCACAUCUCGGCCAAAUAUUUUGCACUGAAAACAGCGGCAAUAUGUUAGGGACGCUUAUGCCAAAAAAAGAAGCAAAAGUAGAGGUUUCCAGAAGUCCAAUGUUCCAAACAAGUCUUCCAACUUAAUGAGACGACAAGGCAGGGACUUUUUCCAACCAUUUGCGAGCAGAUGAAUACAUCGUCCAUCAUUUGACGGCGACUGCGUCUCGCAUGCCGAAGUUUGUCCUCUAGUCAAUUUGCAGGGUUGACAUUUAAUGUGAAAUGUAAUGUUUGGUUUGGGUAAAAUAAUAUGCUGCAUCAAAACGUGUGCCAAAUGAAAAUUUGCAGAUUACGAGCAUUUUAUCCAUGGAACAUCUAAUCAGAAAAAAAUAAUAAAUGAAUAAAAUUGUCACUAAUGGUCAACCCUGCAUGUCAUCGUAUUAAUGUUCACGUUAGUCUCUCUGCCCUCAGUAGCGUUUUCAUUGUUAUUUGUGUAUGCGUUUGAACCGAGUAGGGUGUCCAGUUCUCUAACUUAAAUGGGAUCAAAACUUGGUACUCUCCUUUAGCAAAAAUAAAGUCUGCGAAAAAGGUCCCUUGUUUAGUAAUGUGUAGAAACGAAAAUGAUGAAGUGAAUCUCGUAAAGUGGUCGCUAUAUGAUGUUUGGGUACGACUAGAUUUCUAUUUGACAAAGUGUGGCGUGUAGGCAAUGCUGCUAUUAGGCAAUAUGGAGUGGUAUCACUCUUCAUUUUGAUGAAGUUAACUUUUGGGUGAAAAAACGUUGGGUGAAACAUUACGUAAAAUGCAUCUGUAUAGAAAAAUAUUCACGAUGUAGUUAUAUAGAAACAAUACUUAUAUCUACAAUAAAUUGAUAACAACACAAUCAAAAUUAUAACACUUCACAAAUUAAACUAUUAUAAAACUGACAGAAUGUAGUAUUGCCCACACGCAUUGAAAAGACAUGUAGUGUUACUUCACAAGAAUAAACUUCCUCUGGUUCUCGGUGUACUGAUAUUGUCCGAUCAGUGACGGACCCAUAUUUUCAAUGCUGGGAGGGGGUGAAAAACUUUUUUUUAGAAAAUAAAACCAGGUGAAGUAUAACGAUUCCCCCUAAAUUAAAUGCAUUUUUUUACUGUAGGAUGUUGCUUACAUGAUAAAAAAAGUAAAUAUCGUAAGUAGACAUUCUAUCCAAAGUACAUUCUUCGAUAGGGUUGAAAUUUUCGUGACAAAAUUUUGACCAAAUUGACCUAUUGAAGGUUGGUCGUGCAUCUAGUAUUAACAUAUGUCAGUACUGAACAUCAUGUUGGUGAAGUUAUUAUUGUCUCCUGAUCAUUGAACACCAGAGACCAGAGUUGAGUUUAUCGUCAUUUGUCGAAUCAAUUGUUUUGUGUAGAUAGAUUUUGCGUAAUCUUUCUAGUUUUGAUUGCACAUUAUUUUUUACAAUGAAUAUGGCGGGAUACACAUGUUAACGGACUGUGUCGUCAUGCCGUUUUUGAUUCGCACACUGUGGAAAGUAGUGUUCACUUAAAAUUGUGUCCAGAUUUAAGUUUUAGAUUUAAUGUGAAGAAAACAAGUUGAUGCAGGCCAAAAGCUGCACAUUUCGAUAAGCAAAACGACCAUAGAUCUUACAAAAAUGGCUUCUUUUUGGGCUGUCCUUUUGUUUUGUGUGCGAUCAUCAGCACGACGACACAAUACGAGGUGCAUGUAUAGGCCUACAUUUGAGUGUCAUAUGCAUUUUGAAUGGUCGAUAUCAUUCACACCACUGAAUUUGGACAGAAAUGUUAAUGGAUGAAAUCAGCGAUAAUACUCAUGUCAACUUUAAAGUUGUAAAAUAUAAAAUCACCAGGCCCGUAGCCAGCACUUACAAAAGAGGAGUUAUUUUUCUGGGUCAUUUACAAUGAAACCUUUGUGUACCUUAAUCGAAUUAUACCCAGAAUGGAUCUUUUCUGACAAAAAGGGCGGUUCUUUCUAACCCCCGAACCCCAACAACCACCCUGGCUACGGGUCUGAUUGUUAAUUUAUCAAUUUGCUUAUUGAUUCUAGACUAGACAUAUGAAUUUUAUGUUCUUACGACGGCCAUGGUAUUCCUGAACUAAAGAAAUCAUUGGUAAUUCAAGCAACAAUUUUCAAAAUGUAUAGAAUUUACAUGUUUUAGUUGGAUUUUUUAACUCGAUUUAUAUUUUGAAAUGUAAUGUUGUUAGAAAUAUUGACGAUGUAAUUUUCUUUUUUCUUUUUGUGAACAUCUAUGAUAUAAUUGCUUGAAUU